rnacentral:rRNA from 1 species
AGCAGUCGCCACGGUAAUACAGAGGGUGCGAGCGUUAAUCGGAUUUACUGGGCGUAAAGCGUGCGUAGGCGGCUUCUUAAGUCGGAUGUGAAAUCCCUGAGCUUAACUUAGGAAUUGCAUUCGAUACUGGGAAGCUAGAGUAUGGGAGAGGAUGGUAGAAUUCCAGGUGUAGCGGUGAAAUGCGUAGAGAUCUGGAGGAAUACCGAUGGCGAAGGCAGGCAUCUGGCCUAAUACUGACGCUGAGGUACGAAAGCAUGGGGAGCAAACAGGAUUAGAUACCCGCGUAGUCCCUGUCUCUUAUAA